CAGAUCUCCCGCUGUCCCCUUUAAAUGGCUGGGAAGCUCCAUCCCCGAACAGCUGCAAUCGAUCACCACCUUCGCCCCCCCCCCCUCCAAUCAUGUGAUAGCCUGCCCGAGGGAUUUAAGCUGCUGGAGCUCCGCGCUGCGUUACUCCGGCUUGUGGAGAAGGGGCUCGGGGGUGUCCUGCCUGGUGGGGCUGGUGUCUGCAGCAUGGAGCAAGGACUGGUCGUUACUCAGCUGGACAUCGAGCCUGGUGAGUGCAUCAAGGUCAAAGGGAAGAUCAAGUCUGAUGCCAAAGGGUUUGCUGUGAAUGUUGGGAAGGACAGCAACACCCUCAUGCUGCAUUUCAACCCUCGCUUUGACUGUCACGGGGACAUCAACACCAUCGUGUGCAAUUCCAAGGAGGAUGGCACGUGGGGUGAGGAGGACAGGAAGGCUGACUUUCCCUUCCAGCAUGGUGACAAGAUUGAGAUGUGCAUCUCCUUCGAUCAAACUGAGGCCACGGUGAAGCUGCCUGAGGCAGAGUUCAAGUUCCCCAAUCGGCUGGGCAUGGAGAAAAUUCAAUACCUGGCUGUGGAGGGUGACUUCAAAGUCAAAGCCAUUAAGUUCAGCUAACAGUUAUAGCUUGGUUUGUUUUGUUUUCUGCCCCACACGUAGUGAAAUAAACCCAAACUUGCAAUGGCUGCUUCCUCUGCUGUUUCCUGCUCUAAUCUGCUUGCUCCUGUGUGUGCUACAGGGGUGGGCAAGGAGGGGAUAUGUAUCCAACCACGUGCCUCCUUACACUGUGGAUUUGCAGGUGGUACUGAUUUAGACACAAGCCAGGCAAAGCAUGACUGACUGUGAGUAAAGCUGCCUUAGCAGUAGUUGCUCCCUUCACCUUGUUGGCUGCAGUAAGUGGUCCCUGUCUGGUUUCUAAAAUCUGGGAUUAGUCCAGCCAGGGAGGCUUAAACAGGGGUAUGUGGGGUGUUCAUUGAGCUAUCUCUGACCAAGAAAAGCUGCUCCCAUCUCCUUGCUGGGGAUGAGGGACUGACAGGGAACAUGAGGCAUGGCUUGUGCUCUUGCCAAUAGCUUUGCUUUCCAAGACCAUGCUCAGCACUCGGGUGCACUGCAGGCUGGCACAAGCACACCUGAGAAGCAGAAAAGAGCGGGCGGGUCAGGCUGACUGCGCUUGCCAGGAAACAGAUGUGGAGUGAAAGGUGAAGCCUGACAGAAAGCUUAGGUGUGAGGUUGUGAGAGGAUCAGGUUCUCUGUGCUGCCUCAUGAAUUGAGGUCUUGACACAGAGACCCGGUAUCAGGUACCAUAAAGUCAGGGGCCGAGCAACAUACCCGGUAUGGGUGACAGGCCAUGUGGCAGCCUGUGGGACAGUGUCUGUAAUGCUGGACUGCUACACCCCAGGUGCAGCUUAAGGGCUGUACUGAGCUAGGUUACCACAGGUAUUAAAUCCUGAGUGCACCAAACAAAUAACUGCAGUUAGGCAGAUGAAUAAAAAAGCUUAGUGAACAGCUUCCUGUGCUUACAAGCUUUCUGCUCAUGCAAUGCCUUGGAGUGUGUCUGCUACUGCUCCUUCCCAGCAUCCUGCUACCCAUGCUGACCCAGGAGAGAGCUGGAGCUGGGACUGAUGUGGCAUUUGAGGACCUGGUGGAAGGUAAAGUCCUAUGUGCUGUGGGGAACUGGGAGCCUGGACAGGCUGCCCAGGUUUGGGGGCUGGCUCUGUGACUGACAGUGCUGCCCUGGUGCAGCUCAGUCACAAUGGCCUGCACAGCUGAGACCUUCCUUAGCCAAAUGCUGCUCCACUGCUGGAAUGUGAUCCCUGUUGGCUAAUCCAUCAGCAAGGCUGCAUUUGCUGCUCCUUCAACAGCUGAGCAGUUGGGCCAGCUGCUUGGGUAGGGGCAAUACAACACAGGGGAGGAUUUGAGCCAUUCCAGGCUUUUCAUGGAGAGGCUGCAAGGCUGUUGCCCUCAUGUCAGCAACACUGUCCUGACCUGUACUGCAGCAGCUGCCCAGAGCUGGGCACCCCCAUGGGAGAUGGCAGGAGCCUGGCCAUGCUGCAGGACGGGCGUGGAUAAUGGUGUUCUUAAUUCCUGUCCUGCAUCUAUUGCAUUAUUUAUGGGAUAGGCGGUUAGUUUUUAGAGGCUGGGAUGUCUUUACUAGGAAAAGGAUGAAGGAGGUCUUCCUGAUGAUUUGCCUUGUCCAGUAAGUCCUGAGAUUGUUUCAUUUUGCAGGGUGUGUGGGGUGGGGAGCUGGGGAAAAGAGGAUAGUUUUUGUCUUGUUACAUUACCUGGCUGCAGGUAGCUAAGUGCAGUGUACAGCACUGAAAAGGUAUGAGGCCCUUAUGUAGCUGAGGCACAGAGGAGCUCACAGCUGGUCUCUGUGUGUGCCUGCUCCUGCCUGCCCUGGUCAGGUGAGGUCUGUGUCUCAGAACUGACAAGAAUAAAGCUAAUCUCGUUUUUUUUGCCCUUAAGCUGGCAGUCCUGGUUGCCAGGUAGGCUGGCCCCAAGUGUUCCUGACUGCUGUGCUCAGGGUACAAACAGUGCCCUCAAGGGGGCUACCCCCCUCCUGGACUUUCCACAAGAAUUAAUUAGGCUUAUCCUGCUUUUUAGAGCUGGCAGUUACCACUAAGGAGACCACAAAACAGUAGAAAGGGAAGGAAGGAAGCAUCCCUUUGCCAGCACUUCCUGCUGCUUGAGUUUUGUUCUCCUGUGUCCCAGAGCUAUAAAUAAUCCCGUUCCUCUAAGUGACACUGGGAAAUGUAGAGUGCCCUGGCUGGCUCCUGGAGUGGUGACAAGACUUUCUCUCCUGCUGGAACGAUUCAGAAAGCCAGAACAGUGUGCUGCAGGCAGAGAGAGGGACACAGUGAAUGGGAAAGCAGGGAGCUGGAAGAACCACAGCAUGGCCUAAGGAUGCAGAUUUUGGUAUUUUGCCUUUUUUUUUUUUAAAUUUAAAUCCUGCAUAGUGUGCAGUCACCACUGUAUUUCCUUACAGCAUCACAGCAAGGGAAAUCAGACCUCGAGACCUCCUGAGAAGCAGCUGUGAGGCUUUGUGUUACAACAUGGAGAGAUUUAGUUGGGCAUGAGGAAAAAUGUCUGCAGUGGAGCAGCUGUCCAGGGAAGUGGUGGAGCCACCAUGCCUGCAGGGUUUUCCUCAAGCCACUGCAGAGAGACUGUGCUUUCCUACUGUGCCAGGCAUCACCUGUGGCCAGCUGAGGGGGACUGUCACACGAUCCUUCAACACUCCAUGACUUUCCCGGAGAUGGCUUUGGUCAAGGCACUUGAAACAGAGAAUCAUCUGCCAAGUACUUGGAUUAAACAGACUGGAGCAGGACUGUGUCCCAGGUCCACCUGGGACAGGUUAGAGUGAGGAAGAGGCUGCUGGAGGUGUUUUACCACCGACCCCCGCGGAGGUAGCAAGUGCUGCAGCCAGGGCAGCUGCUGCCGCUGCGUCCCUGGGUGUGAAGUCCGUGGGGAGGCUUUCCAUGAGGCACUUGAGCUGCUCCUGGCCCAGUUUGAUUUUAUCGUCCAGCUCCCGCUGCUCGAUGAGGAGUGCGGACUUCAUCUUCACAAAGUGCUGGUAAUCCUGGAGCUGCUCCUCCGAGAGGUAGUUGCCCAGGAUCUCCAAGACCACCCGUUCCCGACGGUCAAGGUUUUCCUUGAGUUCCCGGGCGUCUUCGUGCUGGCCAGCCAGCAGCUUCCUCUUCUCGUUCAGCGAGCUCUGCACACACCAGAGAGAGCCCUUCAGCACCAGCAGCACCGAAAUCCCUGCUCCCCCCCUCUUCCUCCCAGCACCACCUCCCUGGCUGGCUGCCAAGCUCCCAGACACCCAGUCAAAAGCCUGGGAGAGGAGGAUGAAUCCUUCAUUAUGGAUUGAAUGUGAAUCCCACUGAAUCGGACUCUGAAUGUUCUAGUCAAUGGGAGGCAGAAAGUGCUCUAAGGAAGUCUAAAACUUGCCUGAAAGCAACAACUACCAGGAAAACCUGGCUUUGCCUCUUCAAAAACCACCCGAAGAAUGUUAAAAUGUGGCUUUAACUGAGUGGGUUAUUCCAGGAGGCACAGCACCAUCCAAGCUCUCCUCUGGCCACGGGGCACAGACAGGCUGUCCCCAGCAUGGCCCUUCUGCGGCGAGACAAAAGCCACAGGAUCCCUGACAUUUAUACAGACCGGGAUCAAGGUUCCCAGGGACAAACCCUGCAUUUGCUACUGCUCAUCCAUAAGCUCCAGGACACCUGUGCUACCUUCCUGGCAGCCCUUGGAAGUCCUUGUAAGGUAUGCUGUUGUGAUGGCUGCUGCUGCCCCACAUCCCAGUAAGGCCAGACACCACAGAUACGUACCCGCUCCUCACUGUUGGCAUUUUCCCCCAGACUACUCAGAACAUUCUCCACACGGGCCAGGCGUCCCGAGAGGGAGAGCAAGAGGUUCACCACCUUAUCCAGAUCACCAAUGAACAUCUUGUACUUGUCAAACUCGUUGGGUUUGCACAGCGUGCUGAUCAACAGCUCCACCUCCUCUCCGAGGGCGUUAUUCAUCUUAAUGUCUGCGAGCAGGCCCUCCUUGGCUUCCUUCAGGAUUUCCAGUUUGUGGGUCAAGCUCCCGAUGAGCUCAGCCUGUCAGAGGGGAAACACAUUGCUACCAUCACCCUGACCACAUGGAUGACGACAACAGGAGGGUAUGGCUGUGGUUCCUGAGGAGCAGGGUCAUGUCAGCAACAGCUGACAAAGAAGAUAUUAAGGAGGAAACAGAGAGAACACUGGAAUUCCUCAUCUAGGACAUAAUCCAGGCAGCUGACUAGGUUGUGUGAACAUGUAUGUGCUCCAUGAACAUUUAUAGAAGAGAUCUCAGAUUUGAUGCACCAUGUUCUGAUACCCAGCUACCUACAGCUGAAAGAUGUAUGUUCUUUAAAACCUGCAAGUGAAAAGAGCUGCAGCCACAUCUCGGGCAUGUUCCCCACUCCCUGCCCCAGCUUGAAACGUCUUGAACUGGACAAAACAACUGCCUCCCACACAGGGACAUCAACGAAGAGUUGUCACCAAUGAUGCUUUAAGUUUACUCAGUGUCUAAGCAAAGACACAGAGAGCACAAACCCAUUCUAAGAAAAAUGCUGGCAACUAUUUCCCUGCCAAAGAAAAGGAGGCCCCCGGGCUUCAGUUACUCCACAAACAGCACUGCUACACAUGUGCCCAAGAUCCUAAUUUCUGUUAGGAUUUAGUGGAAAGACAUAUGCAAAAGCAAGUCUGUGGCCUGGGGCUCGCAAUUCUUGCUUCCAUUUACUCAGAACUGUGAGCAGGAAAAGCUCUUCCUACAAGGGGUGAGGAUUUUCAGUGUCUCCAGCUUGUGCACUGCUGAGGCCCCGUUACCCGUGUGUUAAUCUGCUGUGAAAAUAUUGCCUCACUGUCCUGUUUCCAUCCAAACUGAGUGUCACUGCAGGCAGGAGACAGUCUGCUCCAGCAGAGGAAGGAUCCUCAAACACUGGUGAGGCAGGGGGAAUCACUGAGAUGGCCCUGAUGCCCACAGUGGCCUUUCGGUGGGGUCCCAAGGCUGGGCUGGCAGUGGGAAGCACACAGCAGUGUAUGGCCAGGCACCACUAGAUGGAACACUUGGCGUGCUUUGUCCUGUGGCUGCACUACAGCCUGCUCUCAGCUGCCACACACAUGCAGAGGCUGAACAAAAGGACUGGGACUGCUCCUUACAGCCUGUACACCCAGCAUUUGGCAUGGGACAGCCCUGCCUCGGGGUGGUGCAAGAUUUGUACUCAAGUUUGCAGUGACUACUCAGAUCAACUCUCUUCAUUCCAUUUGGGUCACUCUAAUGAAGCUUCACUGGUGGCCUAAACGCUCUCACGCAACUUGAGAGCUGCCAAAAGCUGCCAAAUAGAAAUGCACUUCACUGUAGGGCUUAUUGUCAUUUCAGGAAUGUAAGCAGCCAAUGGUGGUGUGUGCUGAAUUUACCUUCUUCUCGUUGAUGUCCAGCAGCUCCUCUUCCUCAUCUACUUCUUCUGGCAAAUCCUUGAUUUUAUUCAGUAGCUCUGCUUUGGGUGCUGAAACGCUGUAAUAAGCAGGACAGGUGACCAGGGUGACAGGAGCUUCCUUUUCCUCUCUCCUACACCACAGUGAAGAAAAAGGAGGAGUUCAGUCCGAGCCUGACUUUUCCCCAUGCCUAGAUCCAUGCUUUUCCAGGACUGCCCGUUUGGUACCUUCCCAGUGUUAUUACCCACAAGGACAAGGCGGAUUCCUGCCACCAGAGGGUGCGUGUCAGCUGCUGUCACAGCCCAGCACAGCCCCUGGGUUUAAAGGUGACUGGUUACAGCCCUGGACAGGCUUUACCUUGCUGGGGGUCAAUCAGCACAGCUCGGCUAGAGGUGCCCAGACCGGCCAUCCCACCUGGCAUCGUGCAGCACAACUGAUUCCUGGAUGGUUCUCCAGCUGCCACUUGGCAGCUUCUAUCUUAAAAAAACCCACACUGGAGGACUUGGGCUGACCUUGCAGUAAGAAGGUCCCCUCAAGCCUCCUUCCAAAAUCUGGCCUCUCGUUAUCUUUCUGCCUGCCAUUAUUUUCAUCUGGAUUUUACUGUCUGUUCCUGCACUUUGGACUGAAUUGCUUCAGCUUGUAAAGGUUCAGAGAGCAAAAUCAAGUAACAUCUCCAGGGCUGGUUCAUCUCCUCCCCUGUUACCAAGCUCAGCAUUGCCUUCCACACAGCCCAGCUCAUGAGAAAGGGUAUUUGGAACUGCCCUGCCAGGCCCUGCACCUGGGAACUGCGAAACUUGCUCUCCACCAGAGCCCACCAGCAGAAAUGCAGACACCUUGGGCACAGGUUGGCCUUAAAAGUGAGGGAGCAGGGAGUUGUGCCAGCCCUCAUCCCGAUCCCGCAGUGCUUACGUGUCUUCCCUGACAGCCGUCCUGCUGACUUGCUUCUGCGACAUCUUCCUCUUCAUGUUGUUCUCCUUCAGCAAGCUGGUUCCACUGGGGAAAAUCCCUUCCAUUAAGUCCAUGGUAGUCUUCAUUUUGGAAUCUGGAUCCAGGAUAUCUGCCAGAGACUUGUCUUUGUGGACAAUUUCUUUUGCCAGAGCCUCUGACUUAAUAUCCUCUGGGGUCUUUUUCUUUGCCUUCACUGGAGGUGCUGUGCUGAGUAUCCCGGAGUCCGGGCUGGUGUUUUCUGACUCUGGCUCUCUGGGGUCACCUUCAGGCUGAGUUAUGGGCUGUGUAUCAGUGCUUUGAGGCCCUUCAGAAGCAGCAGGUGAGUGGUGCUGCUGGUCCACAGCAGAUGGAGAUCUAGUCCUCUUUGCAGUUGGUGAGAGGGCCCAGUUCUUUUCACCGAUACUGGUGCCCAACCCUGUGAUCUCCCUCUCAGCCGGGGCUUUGGGAAAGCUUUUGAAGCUGCUAUGGAAAGAAAAAUUCUGUGAGAUGAAGAUAAACCUAUGACCCAGGACCAUUGUGAACACAUGGCGAAGGCCUACAACAAGUAAGUUCUCCUUCUCUCUCAUUUUUGUGUCUCACUUCUCAUUCCAACACAGAAGGGCAUGCAGUGUGAAGCUCCUGGCACCAGAAGCAUUUCAUCCCCCCAGUCUGGACACUGCUGGAUUGUCUCUCCAACACAAAAAGAACCAGUGAGUAACAAGUCACUUUGUUUUCUGCUGACAGCUGGGGGACAUUGUGUCCCCCUACCUGGGAGUGCCAUCCUGAGCAGCCCCUACCCAUUUGUCCUUGUCAUGUUGGAAAAGCCAAUCACUGCUACAGCCCUGGCCAGAUUCUUCCUGGAUGGAGAUUAGAGCAGACCCCUGGGAGUGUGAAGCUGUGCUGAGUUAAACCAGCUGGGCACCUUGCCCAAAGUCCCAUCCUUCAGGAGAUUUGCCCUGUACAGCAUGACUGUGACAUACUUGUGUUGUCACUCCUUGGCAGAUGGUCACUGUUUCAUAACAGCAUUGUUUUGUGCCAGGUCUAAAAUGCAUUCUGGGGGAUUCUAACUGUUUGGAUAAACCCAUCAUGGAUUUUCACAGCUGUCUCUCAAAAACCAGUUACUGGAAGGAGUCAGCAGCCAUUCCAGCUCCUCAUGCUGGAGCAAGUCAGAAGCAACCCCACUGAAAUCCGCAGGGAGAACCAGAUCAGGAGACUUUCUCCUCCCUAACCUCCUUUCCUGGGGGUUAUAGGGGAGCACCGCUAGUAGACAUGUUGGUGACCCACUAAGCUUUGUGCCCUGGCCUGGCCACGUCGUUUGAUGAUGCUCUUGGCAUCCAGGCAGUGAGUCUGUCUGUCCCUGUGCCCAUACAGCAAACUCCCCACCCGGCUGGCAGCUGGGGGGGUCUCAUGGCACGCGGGGUCAUUGCCAGCUGUCUGAGCCCCACAUAUCUUACUGUAUAUGGCCCUGCACCGCCCCAGACGCCGCGUUCCAGCCCGCCCUUACCUCACACUGGCCUCCUCUGGGAGCCGGGGGGAUUUGUCUCCAGCUGCCCCAUUCUCCUCAAGUGCCAUGGCUGGAGGGGGAGGUGGGAAUUCCCCCGUGCCAUUGGCAGAAGUGCAAGAGCUGAGCUCGGGAAGAGGACGGGAAGGUGGUGGUGGGGAGAAGGGCGGCUGGGAAGGCGCGACGAACACCUCAUCGUCCCCCUCGUCCUGCAGCAAGGGCGGGGGCGUGAGCUGCAGCCCCGACUCCGAGAUACGCAGCUGGGUGGUCCCCUGGGGAGAGGGAGUCUCCGGGUCGGAAGAAGUGCUGCUCUGUGUUGGCAGGGACUGCCACCUCUGGGACAGCUUGGGCCCAGCCACUGGAGGAGACACCACGGCCCUUGCAGAGCUGUUGUCCUUGACUGGAGGAGCCCACGCCGCUCUAGGGGGCAGGGAUCUGUGGAGCAGCCCGGCCUUCCUUCUCCACGGCAUUUCUUCCAUGGGAGUCUCUGGGGAUCUAUCCUGCACGGCAUCCAGGGGUUGUGGCUGGAGACUCCCGUUGCCCUCAGGGGGAAGAGCCUCUCGUUUGGCAUGGUGCUGUCUCAGAGCCUGGCCCUCGCCUGUGCUCUGGAAGUCUGAGGGAGCCUGGGUGGGUGUGCUGGGGGAGGGCUGGCCAGAUCCAGAAGGAGUAAGGUUAAGGAACAAGGGUUUAAAGCCUUGCUUUUGCUCAGGAUAGUGACUCCUUGCCUCUGUUGGGGCUGGGAAAAAUGCGGAAGUCCUGCUAUCUGGCCUGGAAAGUUCUGAGAGCUUGUGGUUCUCUGUCAGAGUGGUGGACCCAGGGACAACGUCGCUGCUCCGGGGAGGGUGGGGAUAGUAACUGGUGAAUGCCAGUCUCUCUGAGAGGCUUCUUUCUUUCUUGCUGAAAGACCUAGAGACAGACCAUGGUAAGAUUAACAAUUAAUCAAUGAGCAGGAAAAGCUCUCAUGCACCUCCUUAAUGAAUCAAUUAUCAACCCUACCAGAGGCCAGUGUCUGGGGCCUGCUGGUCUAGGUGAGAUGCAGCUGUGCUAUGAAACUGGAAGUCAAAUCCUGAGCCAGAUCCAUUUCCACUCACCAUCUCCCAUCAUCCUCAGUGUGUGCUACAAUACACACAUGUGUAGCAGGCACCACAACACUAACUCAAUGGAAAAAAAUUUAGGAAAACCUAAUGCCUGGCUUCCUUUCCAGCCUUGGUUUCAAUUUGGUUUGUUACAGAUGGGUCUAGUAGUAACUUCUGUAAGACAGAUUAUUUGACAUUAUCUACCAUCAAACCCCAUUCUCAAUUGCUGGUAAUUCUAAGCUCUACGAGCCAAAAAUUCCCAUAAUGUUAUCCGGCUCCUGUUGGAAAGGUGCCAUUAAAAUGAUUCAACUGUCUCCAAGAACAAGGCGAGGCCAAAAAAUGCACUAUUUUGACUCCAGAGAAAAUUAAAAAAAGCUCCUACAGCCUUGGAACUCUGUAAGAAAACAGAGCUCCCUCAGACAGGCAGGUGUGAUGAACCCCAGAGCCAACACAUUCCAUCUGCGAGCGGAUGUUAAGGCUGCAAAGCCAGUGGGGUGAGUUAUUCCUUCCAGGUCUUUUAGGAUGUUCUCAGGUGUGUCUGAGAAACAGUGUCUAGCCUUUGGAGCGAGGAUCCUGCUCGGAAUCCAGAGCCAAACCUACUUGCCUGUAUGGCUGUUUAGCUGGAAAACAAACCGAGCAGUAAUAGUGACACCAGCAGAUGCAAGAAAAGAUGGCCUGAAAACAUGGGGCCGUGCCAUAAACCAAUAAAACACAAUAAAGCUCGACUGCCAAUAUGUUUUCUGUUCUUGAGAUGCAUUGUUCAAACACUCCCAACACUGCCAAUCUGUGAUGCUGGAGACUUGAGCCCCUGAUUUGUUCCCAGAUAUACUGGUACAAAUUAAGAGUAACUCUGUCAAAAACGUGGGUUGUUCGGGCUUUAUUCUGGUGUGACUGAGAAUAGAAUUUGGCAGCCUGUGCCUGGGGCUGGGGAAACUUCCCAGACAGGCUGCUCUUGGUAUUGUCUGUGGUUCCUGGACAGUAGCAGUGUGUAUUCUUUUCAGAUGCUCAGUGUUCCUCAGGAACACCAGAUGGCAAUUCUCUAAUUGAAAGAUCUCUCCUACUGUGGAAGCAACUGUGGAUUCUAAAACUGAUGGAGCAACACCCGUUCCCAAUAUUGUGUGGCACCUGGGGAGCAGUGGGAGAGCACAUGUGACUGGACCAUGUGAUUGCUGACCAAGGUUUUUUCCUAACUUCAUCAUCUGACGAGUUUUCUUCCUCCUCGAGCAAGAGCUGUGGUAGGGGUGGUACCAUCUCCUCUGCAGCACAUUAGGCAGCUGUGUCCCAAGGAAACCGAGAAACAUAACCUGUACUGCCUGGUGUUGCCUCCAUGCAUGGAGAAUGCUUCUCCUAUCCUCAUUCUAUCUUUUGGGAAAUCCAAUUCUGAGUGAGAAAGGAAAGCAAGUCCCGUCUCCCAGCAGAAAUGUGCUUGCGAAGCAUGAGGGAUGCCUGCGCAGCAGAAACGCCACAAAACUGCUAAUAACCAAUAAUCUUUGUGCAGUGAAGCAGGAAAAUGAGAAACCUGCAUUUCGUGCCCCAAUAAACUUGUUUUCAGUCUGGGUGUUCAAUCCCAUUACUUGGAAAAUAGGUUGGGGAAAGAAAGAAAUAAAAGGAAGCUGCAAGUAGUGAUCGAGCAGCAGGAUGAAAUGCCAUCUGCAGGAAAAACAGGGAGGUAGGAGCAAGUGAAACAGCUGCAUUGUUGUUUUAGGAAAAAACAUGGAAAAAAGUUAUUCCAAAUCACAGCAAAUGGGCAUGUUUUAAACAAACCUAAAAGGAUGUGCCUGAAGGUAGACUGGGUCCCUUUAAAACAAUA